GGGGAUGUAGCUCAGUUGACGGAGUGCUUGUCUGACAUGCAUGAGGCCUUGGGUUUGACCCCCAGCACACACA
rnacentral:tRNA from 1 species